ACUCCUACGGGAGGCAGCAGUGGGGAAUAUUGCACAAUGGGCGCAAGCCUGAUGCAGCCAUGCCGCGUGUGUGAAGAAGGCCUUCGGGUUGUAAAGCACUUUCAGUCGUGAGGAAGGUAGUGUAGUUAAUAGCUGCAUUAUUUGACGUUAGCGACAGAAGAAGCACCGGCUAACUCCGUGCCAGCAGCCGCGGUAAUACGGAGGGUGCGAGCGUUAAUCGGAAUUACUGGGCGUAAAGCGCAUGCAGGUGGUUUGUUAAGUCAGAUGUGAAAGCCCGGGGCUCAACCUCGGAAUAGCAUUUGAAACUGGCAGACUAGAGUACUGUAGAGGGGGGUAGAAUUUCAGGUGUAGCGGUGAAAUGCGUAGAGAUCUGAAGGAAUACCGGUGGCGAAGGCGGCCCCCUGGACAGAUACUGACACUCAGAUGCGAAAGCGUGGGGAGCAAACAGGAUUAGAUACCCUGGUAGAUAGCG
rnacentral:rRNA from 1 species